GCUCAAAGGGAAAUUUGAAGAGAAACUAUAUAUUGAAAAAGAAAUGUUUGACAGUAAAAUGCCUUAUAGAUGCAGUUCAAGGUUUGAUAAACCCGAAUCGACCUGAUUUGUUUCAAAAAAAAAAUUUAGGGUUUUUUUUUUUCAAAUGUCCUCUGAAAAUGUUUCUUAAAACUUCACUUGUUUCUUCAAAAUCAUCUUUCAAUGUUAGAUUUUCAUCUUCAUCUAUUCUUUCUUCACUUUCCCAAAACCAACACACCAAAUCACCACCCAAACACAUCUCCACUCUUAAGCACCAUCCUCAACUUUAUAAUUUCCUUCGUGUAAACUGCAGGUCAGGAAAAUACUGACGAAGAUGCUCGUAAGGUUGUAGAUGGUUUAGCACCUAAGGCCACUGAUCAAAAUGAUGCUAUUGAGAAAUUGUAUGAACAUGUAUAUCUCAUCUGUGUACUCUUAGUGCUACUUGUAAUAUACAUACAUAAAUA